AGAGUUUGAUCCUGGCUCAGAUUGAACGCUGGCGGCAUGCCUUACACAUGCAAGUCGAACGGCAGCAUGGGAGCUUGCUCCUGGUGGCGAGUGGCGAACGGGUGAGUAAUGCAUCGGAACGUGCCCUGAAGUGGGGGAUAACGCAGCGAAAGUUGCGCUAAUACCGCAUAUUCUGUGAGCAGGAAAGCAGGGGAUCGCAAGACCUUGCGCUUUAGGAGCGGCCGAUGUCGGAUUAGCUAGUUGGUGGGGUAAAGGCUCACCAAGGCGACGAUCCGUAGCGGGUCUGAGAGGAUGAUCCGCCACACUGGGACUGAGACACGGCCCAGACUCCUACGGGAGGCAGCAGUGGGGAAUUUUGGACAAUGGGCGAAAGCCUGAUCCAGCCAUGCCGCGUGAGUGAAGAAGGCCUUCGGGUUGUAAAGCUCUUUCGGCGGGGAAGAAAUCGCAUUCUCUAAUACAGGAUGUGGAUGACGGUACCCGAAUAAGAAGCACCGGCUAACUACGUGCCAGCAGCCGCGGUAAUACGUAGGGUGCGAGCGUUAAUCGGAAUUACUGGGCGUAAAGCGUGCGCAGGCGGUUUCGUAAGACAGACGUGAAAUCCCCGGGCUCAACCUGGGAACUGCGUUUGUGACUGCGAGGCUAGAGUUUGGCAGAGGGGGGUGGAAUUCCACGUGUAGCAGUGAAAUGCGUAGAGAUGUGGAGGAACACCGAUGGCGAAGGCAGCCCCCUGGGCCAAUACUGACGCUCAUGCACGAAAGCGUGGGGAGCAAGCAGGAUUAGAUACCCUGGUAGUCCAA
rnacentral:rRNA from 1 species